GUCAUCAUGUCCGAGUCUGGUCCAAGGAGUAGCACUUAAGAUGCUAUGGCGAAAGCCUCGGCGGUUCGAAUCCGCCUGUUGACACCA
rnacentral:tRNA from 1 species